rnacentral:misc_RNA from 1 species
GAUGAAGAACGCAGCGAAACGCGAUAGGUAAUGUGAAUUGCAGAAUUCCGUGAAUCAUCGAAUCUUUGAACGCAUCUUGCGCUCCUUGGUAUUCCGAGGAGCAUGCCUGUUUGAGUGUCGUGAAUACUCUCAACUUCAACCCUUUUUUCGGAAAGGGAGGAAGGUUGGACUUGGGUGUUUGUUGAAGUGCGAGCUUCGACUCAUCCUAAAUGCAUUAGCGAUCUGCCUCGAUCACACACAAUGUGAUAAUUAAAACUAAAGCAUUGUUUAAUGAUCAAGUCGAGACUGCUUCUAACUGUCGCAAGACAAUAACGUGCAUACAUUUGUGCAUGUCAUUUGACCUCAAAUCAGGUAGGACUACCCGCUGAACUUAAGCAUAUCAAUAAGCGGAGGA